rnacentral:rRNA from 1 species
GUGAGGAAUAUUGCGCAAUGGAGGCAACUCUGACGCAGCCAUGCCGCGUGCAGGAAGAAGGCGCUACGCGUUGUAAACUGCUUUUAACCGGGAAGAAACCCCAGGACGUGUCCUGGGUUGACGGUACCGGAGGAAUAAGCACCGGCUAACUUCGUGCCAGCAGCCGCGGUAAUACGAAGGGUGCAAGCGUUAUCCGGAUUCAUUAGGUUUAAAGGGUUCGUAGGCGGAGCGUUAAGUCAGUGGUGAAAUCCUGCAGCUUAACUGUAGACCUGCCAUUGAUACUGGCGCUCUUGAGUGCGCUUGAAGUGGGCGGAAUGUGCCGUGUAGCGGUGAAAUGCUUAGAUAUGGCACAGAACACCAAUUGCGAAGGCAGCUCACUAAGGCGAUACUGACGCUGAGGCACGAAAGCGUGGGGAUCGAACAGGAUUAGAAACCCCUGUAGUCC